rnacentral:misc_RNA from 1 species
GUAGGUGAACCUGCGGAAGGAUCAUUAGAAGAAGAAGUGGAGUGUAGGCUUCGGGCUUAGGGAACCUGGAAACCCUGGGUUUCGCUUCUCAGCCACGAUGAUGGACACAGGAUUUUUGGUGUGCCGAUGCCGAGCGUGAAAGGGAGAUCCUCUCUCGCGAGACCUGCCCGUUAACCGCAUCAGGCCCGCUGGGGACACAGGAUUGAAACUCCCGGAGAAACCGUGUUGGAGCCACUGCAAGCAAGGGGAG